AUGGCUGUCGUCAGCUCGUGUCGUGAGAUGUUGGGUUAAGUCCCGCAACGAGCGCAACCCACGUCUUUAGUUGCCAGCAUUCAGUUGGGCACUCUAGAGAGACUGCCGGUGAUAAACCGGAGGAAGGUGUGGAUGACGUCAAGUCAUCAUGCCCCUUACAUCCUGGGCUACACACGUACUACAAUGCUACGGACAAAGGGCAGCAAACUCGCGAGAGCUAGCAAAUCCCAUAAACCGUGGCUCAGUUCAGAUCGUAGGCUGCAACUCGCCUACGUGAAGGAGGAAUCGCUAGUAAUCGCAGGUCAGCAUACUGCGGUGAAUACGUUCCCGGGCCUUGUACACACCGCCCGUCACACCAUGGAAGUUGGCCACGCCCGAAGUCGUUACUCCAACCCGCAAGGGAGGAGGAUGCCGAAGGUGGGGCUGAUGACUGGGGUGAAGUCGUAACAAGGUAGCCGUACCGGAAGGUGCGGCUGGAUCACCUCCUAAC
rnacentral:rRNA from 1 species